UUGUUGACAUGCCGGAGGCGACAACUGCAAUUCUAGACAAUCCCAACAGAAGUCGCUGCUGUGCACGGUCCUCAGUGUCAACAAGCAACAGUGAAUGACCCCUUCAUCAGGCACCAAUUUUGUCUGCAUUCGUGACUGUUUCCUGCAGUUCUUGAUGGUCCAUUCAGCAGGAGGUACCAGAUUGUGACUGCAGUGCAGUCCUCCUUACAGAAACACUUUUCAUGAUGUUCAACCCCGUGGCUUCAAUAAGAAGACUCGGUCCCACAGGAAAAAUCAUUCUUGGCUGGGUGACAAUUAUGCCUACAGCAAUCGUGUCCUUCAUUCUUGUGAAAAAGCAUGUUGACAAGAAUCGGCUGGAGAUUCUUCGCAGCAAGGCCCGGAUGAGGGGCGUGGAAGAGAAGAACUUGGAUGAAUUACGGAGUAACAGAGGAGGGGGCAUACAGUAGAUAAAACUUUACUCUGUAUUCCGCACUUACUGCCAGGUCCAACAUAUCAUUGUCAUCCUGUGGAUUGGGCUGAUCUGACAGUGAAACUUUGAAUGGCAAGUCUGUGGAACUCUCAGUGUGCAUUGGAGCCACCAUCUAAGUUUUUCAAGCUUAUUAUUAAAGAAUGUAGCUACAGUUUUCACAAAGUGAAAGAUUUGAACAAUUGUUGAGAGUGGAUAGCCACUAAAAUAGAACUUCCUCCUGAAUUUGACUUUGUGGUGUUUAUUUAAACUAUUUUAAUUGUUAGCCUGUGAUGAAAUACAUGAAGUAGUAAGUAGACACUUCUGGCUCUACAUCAUGGCAAUUCAGCAGCACCUCCUUUUGGACUAAGGUUGUACUGCAACUGGCAUGGUCUUGGUUUUCAAAACGGUGUAAUAGAUGCAUUUUGGGGGUGGAAUGGGGGCUUGCUCAUUUCCCAUACAAACAUUUUCUCCACAUUCAGCCUGAAAGAGGACUAACAAGAUGAUAAUUUAUAAUAAAUUGGAGUAUCAGGCCUUUUUCUACCUAUAUGAUGAGUAACAAUGUACCAACACUGGACUGUUACAGCAACAGACAUGGAGAAUGCACCAAUUGUGAUAAAUUGGGAAGAUCACUUAAUCGCUAGCCCUUAUCAAUAAUUCAUAAUGCUACAACACGUGCCAAGUUUAAGUGCCACAUUGUAUUACGCAAAAAAUUGUCUACCUAUUUACUGUCUUAGCCGUUUUUCUGUGGCUGAGCUUGCCUAGUUUUAUUGGAACCAUGAACUAAAGAUGCCACUACAGGCAAUAUUCUAUAUGUGUUUGUACAUCUUCAGUAUUGUUGUCUAAAAAUUAGACUAAUAAUAGGAUCCCACAUAAAGGUACAUGUGCUUUGGAAUGGAUAUUUUUCUAAUGCUGUGUUACAUUCCUCAAACAAUUGCUGUGUUAUAGACCUUUACUAGUAGUCAUUUGACAAAAGAUACAUGUUUUAAAAGCCCAAAAGUGUAUUAGGUUUCAGUUGGAAAUAUAAGAAUCAUUCUGUCUCAUCUACAAAGCCAUACACCAUAUGCCCACCAUUCCAUCAACCACUUGCAAUGAUGUAAGGAUUAUGUGUAUCUGGGAAUGUCAAUAAAAUGGUCUAGAAAAUCA